GGGGGGGGGGGGAGGGCAUUUUCGGCUAAUAAGCCUUAUAGCAAUGCAUAUGAUUAUUUCAUUGGACUAUUUGGAUUUAGUGGUGCAUGCAUGUUGGUCAGAUUUCUUUCAAAUGUGUAAUCCAAGUUAGACAAUUUGACAUGUAUGACAUCAUACUAGACCAUGUAGUUAGAGAAAAUAUACCUCAAUCUAAUUUAUUUAUAUUCAUUUAUGUAAUGACUUACAUAAUACAUACAUGCGUGCAUGCAUGCAUACAUACAAUCACCUGUGAACUACAUGUAUCAAAUAAAAACCCACAUGAGUAUUAAUUUAGGAUAUCUAUAUAUAUAUAUAUACACACAAAAUUAUCGGGUGAGGGGUGAAGUUUAAAAAGUUUAAGGUCCCAAAAAAUGUGGACAUCUGUUCGAGGUCUAAGUCUAGGGUUUGCAAGAAGAUUAUGUGAACUACCCAGAAUAUUCGUAGGAGAAUUUGCACUAACCAAGGAUUUGGACUACUCAAAAUAUUCAAAGGAGCUGUCACAGUCCGUCCCGAAAUAUUUAGUUUCGACGGUGUGAAAUGACGGUUUUAUCCUUGGACGUUGAGAUUGUGAUGUGUGUGACAUACUUUUGGGAUGUAGACCAAUAUGUUGAGUUCCUAAGUUUUGGAUUCAAUUAAAAGUUAAACUUUUGUUUGUUUUGGUUGGCGACCAAGUGAAGACACACACACACACACACAAAAACAACCUCGUGCACUCUCUCUCUCCUUUUCUUGGCCUUCCUACCAUUACGGACGAACACCAAACUCACAUUUCACGCACAAAUCAACGUCAAGAAGGUAAGAUUCGAACUCCUUGCAAGUCUCUAAGUUCAUGUAUGCCAUUUUUAGAUAGUGAAACCUUCAAAACCCCGAGAAACCAUCACCCCUGAUUUGAGUACUGUUCAUGUCGUCAUAAUUAUGAUGUUUCAUGGGAUUUUAAUCUCAUAGGAAGCUUUAGGAUGUUCUUACGAAGCUCAAAGAAGAAAAACCAAGCAAAUUGGACAUCGGGAAGUCGAGUUUGGUGAGUUUGAAAGUUGGCUGGAAUUAUCGUGCUUUCUCCAGCGAGAUCUUGUGAUUGUUAGAGCUUGAAAUUGGUAAGAAUGUGUUCUAUUCAUUGUAAGCUUCAAUUUGGUUUAAGUUUCAUGAAUUUUGGUGUAAAUGAAGAAGUUAGAAGGAUUUUUAGAUUUUCCAGUUUCCGGCGACGGCGACGGUCGCCGGAGUUGGUAGGAGAUGACCGAAUAUUCUGUCAAUUUUGACAAAAUAUUCCUAACAGUGACUAACUGCGUUAGUUAAAUUUAACGGAAUAUUCCUAACAGCCUUUAGGCCUCAGUUAAGGUUUGGUUGUGCGUGGGGGCGCGUAGGGCUGUGCCCUUGCCAGCGCGUGACGGCUCCAAAAUUAUUUUUAAAAUUUGGGCGUGUUCCUGAGGUUGUGUAGAUCACGUUGGUAUAUUUAAACACCUCAUUUGAGCAAUAUAUGAGAAGUUAUUAGCCAAUAUUGGUUAUGUGCUUUAAAUUAACGAUUUUAUAGUCAUUUUGCAUAUAGGGGAGAUGUUGGAAAUGUGCCUUAAAGCCAAUCAUGUGAUGAUACUUUACGGACAUUUCACAUGUUAAACUAAUCUAGUUUUACAUAUAAAGGGCAU
rnacentral:lncRNA from 1 species